AUUGAACGCUAGCGGGAUGCUUUACACAUGCAAGUCGAACGAGUGGCGGACGGGUGAGUAAUGUAUCGGAACGUGCCCAGUAGUGGGGGAUAACUACGCGAAAGCGGGCUAAUACCGCAUACUAUUGGCUCGGCCGAUAUUAGAUUAGCUAGUUGGUGGGGUAAAGGCCUACCAAGGCCGGGAUCUAUAGCUGGUCUGAGAGGACGACCAGCCACACUGGAACUGAGACACGGCCCAGACUCCUACGGGAGGCAGCAGUGGGGAAUUUUCGACAAUGGGGGAAACCCUGAUCGAGCCAUCCCGCGUGUAUGAAGAAGGCCUUCGGAUUGUAAAGUACUUUCAGCGGGGAGGCGUUACCCGCAGAAGAAGCACCGGCUAACUCCGUGCCAGCAGCCGCGGUAAUAC
rnacentral:rRNA from 1 species